rnacentral:rRNA from 1 species
CACGUAGGGACCAAGCGUUGUCCGGAUUCAUUGGGCGUAAAGAGCUCGUAGGCGGUUCGAUAAGUCGGGUGUGAAACCUCCAGGCUCAACCUAGAGACGCCACCCGAUACUGUCGUGACUAGAGUCCAGUAGGGGAGCGUGGAAUUCCUGGUGUAGCGGUGAAAUGCGCAGAUAUCAGGAGGAACACCAGCGGCGAAGGCGGCGCUCUGGGCUGGAACUGACGCUGAGGAGCGAAAGCGUGGGGAGCGAACAGG